AGCAGCGUCGUGUCGCGGUCCGGGACUGUCCUCAGUCCCGGGUCGUCUCGGCGCGGUUCCGAGCGGUCGCUCCCUCGCGAGGUGCCGCGGGUCAGCGGCUGACGCCAGCCACCUUCCCGACCCGUCUUGAAACACGGACCAAGGAGUCUAACAUGUGCGCGAGCCGCGGGGCAGUACGAAACCCGUAAGGCGAAAUGAAGGUGAACGCCGGCGCGGUCCGGCGGAGGUUGGAUCCCGUCCCGUCGGGGCGGGCGCACUACCGGCCGAUCUUCUCCGCCCUGUCGGCGAGGUCGAGCGAGAGCGUGCAAGUCGGGACCCGAAAGAUGGUGAACUAUGCCUGAGGAGGUUGAAGCCAGAGGAAACUCUGGUGGAGGACCGUAGCGAUUCUGACGUGCAAAUCGAUCGUCAAAUUUGGGUAUAGGGGCGAAAGACUAAUCGAACCGUCUAGUAGCUGGUUCCCUUCGAAGUUUCCCUUUGAUUACGUCCCUGCCCUUUGUACACACCGCCCGUCGCUACUACCGAUUGAAUGGUUUAGUGAGGUCCUCCGAUUGGACCCGGUCCGGGCGGCGACGUCCGAGCCGGCGUCCGAGAAGACGAUCUAACUUGAUCAUUUAGAGGAAGUAAAAGUCGUAACAAGGUUUCCGUAGGUGAACCUGCGGAAGGAUCAUUAACGUUGGACGCGAUUUCGGUCGUGGUCUUGUGAGGCUCUUCUCGAGGAGACGGCCUUCCGACGAGAGUCGGGGGC
rnacentral:ncRNA from 1 species